rnacentral:RNase_P_RNA from 1 species
GAGGAAAGUCCGGGCUCCACGGAACGCGGUGCCGGGUAACACCCGGCGGGGGCGACCCCAGGGACAGUGCCACAGAGAGCAGACCGCCGAUCGGCGUUUCGACGUCGAGGCAAGGGUGAAAGGGUGCGGCAAGAGCGCACCGCGCGACGGGUAACCGAAGCGGCAUGGCAAACCCCACCGGGAGCAAGACCGAAUAGGGGCGGCACGAGCCUCGUGCGCAAGCAUGGAGUUCCGGGCAGGAACCGGCCCAGCCGCCCGGGUUGGUUGCUUGAGGCGUCCGGUGACGGGCGUCCUAGAGGAAUGAUCGUCGCCGGCUUUCGGGCCGGGACAGAACCCGGCUUA